UACGUAGACCUCAAGCGUUAUUCGGAUUUAUUGGGCGUAAAGAGCAUGUAGGAGGUUUCGCGCGUCUUUUGUUAAAGCCCAGGGCCUAACCCUGGAAGUGCAGGAGAUACGGCGGAACUAGGAGGAGGUUAGAGGUGCAUGGAACUCACGGUGUAGGGGUGAAAUCCGUUGAUAUCGUGGGGAACACCAAAGGCGAAGGCAGUGCACUGGGACCUUCCUGACUCUGAGAUGCGAAAGCGUGGGGAGCAAAAAGG
rnacentral:rRNA from 1 species